AGUCCCCAGGGUCCUUACCCAUCCGCUCUAAACACUGGUCUGAAGGGUUCAUAAGGAGGAAGAGCAACACGGAGACUGCCUUCCAUUCUUUUCUGGCAAAUGGGGCUAGCUUCAAAACAGC
rnacentral:snoRNA from 1 species